rnacentral:lncRNA from 1 species
UGUUUUACACUACCCUCUACUCGAUUUCUUCGAUUGAUUUAUGUUUUUCAACGUUUUUUAUUUCUCUCAAAAAAACUAGGGUUUCUAAACCCCUUUUUCAAAAUCGCUACCUCUUCUGUUUCUUUAGAUAUUAUGUACGACAGUAUUAUGUGUUUAUUUAUGUUGCAAGCCUGUUUGUUUCUGAGUUCCAUGCUUUAAACAUUUAC